rnacentral:rRNA from 1 species
ACGGGUGAGUAACACGUGGGAACGUGCCCUUCGGUUCGGAAUAACUCAGGGAAACUUGAGCUAAUACCGGAUACGCCCUUAUGGGGAAAGGUUUACUGCCGAAGGAUCGGCCCGCGUCUGAUUAGCUUGUUGGUGGGGUAACGGCCUACCAAGGCGACGAUCAGUAGCUGGUCUGAGAGGAUGAUCAACCACACUGGGACUGAGACACGGCCCAGACUCCUACGGGAGGCAGCAGUGGGGAAUAUUGGACAAUGGGCGCAAGCCUGAUCCAGCCAUGCCGCGUGAGUGAUGAAGGCCUUAGGGUUGUAAAGCUCUUUUGUCCGGGACGAUAAUGACGGUACCGGAAGAAUAAGCCCCGGCUAACUUCGUGCCAGCAGCCGCGGUAAUACGAAGGGGGCUAGCGUUGCUCGGAAUCACUGGGCGUAAAGGGCGCGUAGGCGGCCGAUUAAGUCGGGGGUGAAAGCCUGUGGCUCAACCACAGAAUUGCCUUCGAUACUGGUUGGCUUGAGACCGGAAGAGGACAGCGGAACUGCGAGUGUAGAGGUGAAAUUCGUAGA